rnacentral:rRNA from 1 species
GACAGAGGUGCCGAGCGUUAGGCGGAAUCACUGGGCUUAAAGCGUGUGUAGGCGGGCGAUCAAGUACCUUGUGAAAUCCCACGGCUCAACCGUGGAACCGCUGGGUAUACUGGUUGUCUUGAGCCGGCUAGGGGCGAGCGGAACAGACGGUGGAGCGGUGAAAUGCGUAGAUAUCGUCUGGAACGCCGAAGGUGAAAACAGCUCGCUGGGGCCGCGCUGACGCUGAGGCGCGAAAGCCAGGGGAGCAAACGGG